rnacentral:lncRNA from 1 species
UGAAGAGAAACAAAAUCGAGCAAGAAGAUACUACAUUGUUGUCGUUAUUGCUACUGGUUUGGUGUUGUUGGGCACAUGAAUAUUGAAGCCUAAUUGCUAAAAUUUUCAUGGUGGUGUGUGUAUUUGCUACUGGUUUGUUGUCGACGAGCACACGGAUAUUCAAGCGUAACUGUUGGAAAAUAUAAAAAAGAUUUAGGCA